rnacentral:lncRNA from 1 species
AAUGUUAACCAUUGCCAACUCAUAGUGGCAUUACCAAUCAAAAUAUACAUAUAUUGUCUAAGUCAUAUAUCUUAGUAAUUUACAUCGCGUUUAUCUAUACACAACAAAAAGGGACUCGACUUCCAGCGGAGUGAGCUUGGUGAAGGUACAGCUAUUGAAUGCCGAGAUACCUACCAAGGAGACGAAUCUACGUGGACACCUCGACCUAGGUUCCAACUGCCUCCUGAUCUGAAAACAUGAAGUUGAAAACAGUGAGUAUAAACCUAAUGAGUGAACAUAAGAAGGGAACAAGCAAACAAUAUGAAGAGAUUUUGAAAACAUGAUGCACUUUAGUUACAAACAAUGCAAUUUAGUUUAAUUUCUUGUAAAGCCUCUUAAUUCAACCCUUGGUUAUUUAAUUCCUUAGCAUUGAAAAUCCAUGAUAAACCAUGAAGUUGAAAAGAAUGAAAAUUUCAACAAAUGUCCAUGCAAGACAAAUAAAACAAAGGGUUUCUCGCUGCAAUGAAAUUCGGACCAAAAUUUCGAACCACCCGAGAGUUUCUCGCUGUAGCGAAAACAGAGCCAGUGCACACCCUCCCCCAACUCGAGACUUUCUCGUUGUAGCGAGAUUCAUUUUCGCUGUAGCGAGAAUCUGGCCAGAUGAAGUUAGGGGAAAUUUUCACUGCUAC